rnacentral:lncRNA from 1 species
UUCCCUUGCGGACCAAGCGUAAACCGACAUGCGGUUUAUGGGCUGUUGGUUAAGAAAUCGUAAGUUGGGCCUCGAGUCGUGUCUUAGGUCCCUUUGGGCCGUCUUUCGACUCGAAGCGUUUAUUAUAGCUUCUUUCGAUAAAGAAUGAACUUUCCGCAGUUUUUACGGUAAAGUUUGAUUGAUAACAUAGAAAUGGCGGGGAACGUGAGAUGGGUUCGCUACGGUAUUCGGGAGAUAGCAUCGAAGGGUAGACGAGAAUGCAUGGACUAGUGUCGUAUCGACGUUUUGGGAAACCUCGGUUGCUACGUAGCGACCGAAC